GAUGAAGAACGUAGCGAAAUGCGAUAAGUAGUGUGAAUUGCAGAAUUCAGUGAAUCAUCGAAUCUUUGAACGCACCUUGCGCUCCUUGGUAUUCCGAGGAGCAUGCCUGUUUGAGUGUCAUUAAAUUCUCAACCUCAUCAGUUUUGUUAUGAAGCUGUGUGAGGCUUGGAUGUGGGGGUUUGUGCAGGCUGCCUCAGUGCGGUCUGCUCCCCUGAAAUGUAUUAGCGAGUUCCAACUGGGCUCCGUCUAUUGGUGUGAUAAUUAUCUACGCCGUGGAUUGGGCUUAGACUUGCUUCUAACCGUCCGCAAGGACAAUCUUUUGACAAUUUGACCUCAAAUCAGGUAGGACUACCCGCUGAACUUAAGCAUAUCAAUAAGCGGAGGA
rnacentral:misc_RNA from 1 species